UACGUAGGGACCAAGCGUUGUUCGGAUUUACUGGGCGUAAAGGGCGCGUAGGCGGCGCGGUAAGUCACUUGUGAAAUCUCUGAGCUUAACUCAGAACGGCCAAGUGAUACUGCAGUGCUAGAGUGUGGAAGGGGCAAUCGGAAUUCUUGGUGUAGCGGUGAAAUGCGUAGAUAUCAAGAGGAACACCUGAGGUGAAGACGGGUUGCUGGGCCAACACGUGACGCUGGAGGCGCGAAAGCCAGGGGAGCAAACGGG
rnacentral:rRNA from 1 species